rnacentral:lncRNA from 7 species
GGGUAUCUUGCUGGAGAUCCCUGCUUACGUGAGGCCUUCCAAAGCUUUUCAUCAGUCUACGUUGUGAAUGAAAAAGGCAGGACACCAUUCCUAACAUUCCUAAACCUCUUGAGGUACUGGGGGAUAUACAUGGUAGAGCAUUUGUUGAACGCUGACGUGCUGGGAUGAAUUCAGGUGUAGGAAUUUGAUUCCAAGUUUAAUUUCAAGAUAUGCAUCUGAGAAGAUCACAGAUCAACCCCCUCCAUCUCAUUCUCCAUGUUUACAAGCUAAGUGCUCCUUAGAACACAGGGAAGCUAACAGUGGACUUACAGAUCUAAAAGAAAUCAUUAUUGACAUAGAAAUUGUGAAGUGUACAGCAGAAGGAAACAGGGUUGUACUCAGUAGCAACUCAUUUCUUCUGGAUUCCUAAUUUUGUGGUAGGAGGGCUGCUCUGAACGUAAUGCCUCCUAUUCAAUUAUGAUGGCUCACAACGUCAGAGGUAGCUGUUGUUGGUAUGGCAGCAGAUGAUGAACCUUCCCACCAGUAUUCCAUUAUGCUUUGUUGCUAUAUGACAGAUGACCACAUGACAUCUGAAUUUGAUACACAUAUGAAUCAAAGGUGUGUCAUUGCAUUUCUUACUGUGGGGGGAAGAAAAUGGCAUUCAUUGAUGCUCAUCAGUGCUAACUGGAAGUUUAUGGACACCAAACAGUGGACGUGAGCACAGUGGGAUGGUAUGUUUCAGCAGUCACGACAGUGGCAGGAAAGACAAUCCAUGUUCUGGACAGCCAUGUAGAUGUUCAUAGGGGUAGCAUGCAGGCUCUUGUUCAUCACUGCUGAAAAUGCACAGUUAAUGGUGCUGACUCUGAAAAAUGUUCUGUAGCUCAGAAUUUGCUAUAUCAAAUAGUGUUAUUGUGUUCUUUGUCUGUUGUAUUUUUCAUGGAAAUAAAUGAGAGGUAUUACUUCUG